rnacentral:rRNA from 1 species
UACGUAGGUGGCGAGCGUUAUCCGGAAUGAUUGGGCGUAAAGGGUGCGCAGGCGGAAAGAUAAGUCUGAUGUGAAAGCCCCCGGCUUAACCGAGGAAUUGCAUCGGAAACUGUGUUUCUUGAGUGCAGAAGAGGAGAGUGGAACUCCAUGUGUAGCGGUGGAAUGCGUAGAUAUAUGGAAGAACACCAGUGGCGAAGGCGGCUCUCUGGUCUGUAACUGACGCUGAGGCUCGAAAGCGUGGGGAGCAAACAGG